rnacentral:rRNA from 1 species
GGAAGCCAAAUAAGGGCGUACGGAGGAUGCCUAGGCUCUCAGAGGCGACGAAGGACGUGGCAAGCUGCGAAAAGCCGUGGGGAGGUGCAAGCGACCGAUAAUCCAUGGAUGUCCGAAUGGGGGAACCUUCUAUGCUGAAGGCAUAGAGUGAGAACGCGAACGCGGGGAACUGAAACAUCUAAGUACCCGUAGGAAAAGAGAACGAAGUUUAUUCCCUGAGUAGUGGCGAGCGAAAGGGGAGGAGCCCAUUAAGUAUACGUAUUUGUAGUGGAACAUUCUGGAAAGGAUGGCCGGAGGAGGUGAGAGCCCUGUACACGGCACGAAUAGGUAUAUGAAUUGAGUAGGGCGGGACUGGUGAAAUCCUGUCUGAAUAUGCCGGCACCAUCCGGUAAGGCUAAAUACUACUGAGAGACCGAUAGCGAACCAGUACCGUGAGGGAAAGGUGAAAAGAACCCUAAGCAAGGGAGUGAAAAGACCCUGAAACCGUACGUCUACAAGCGGUCGGAGCGAGAGCGACGGCGUGCCUUUUGCAUAAUGAGCCUACGAGUUGCACCUUUCUAGCGAGUUUAAGUGCUUAAGGCACGGAGGCGGAGCGAAAGCGGGCCUGAAUAGGGCAGUAGCUAGGAGGGGCAGACGCGAAACCGAGUGAUCUACCCAUGUGCAGGUUGAAGUCUGGAUAGUCUCCAGAUGGAGGACCGAACCGGUAAACGUUGAAAAGUUUUCGGAUGACGUGUGGGUAGGGGUGAAAGGCUAAUCAAACUCGGAGAUAGCUCGUACUCCCCGAAAUGCAUUUAGGUGCAGCGUUAAUUAUAGGUAUCAUGGAGGUAGAGCUACCAAUAGGGCUAGGGGGCUUCACCGCCUACCAACCCCUGAUGAACUCCGAAUGCCAUGAUAUUGGAUUAGCAGUGAGGCUAUGGGUGCGAAGGUCCAUAGCCGAGAGGGGAACAACCCAGACCAUCAGCUAAGGCCCCCAAAUACGUGUUAAGUUGGAUAAACGAGGUGGGGAUGCAUUGACAGCCAGGAUGUUUGCUUGGAAGCAGCAAUUCAUUUAAAGAGUGCGUAACAGCUCACUGGUCGAGCGUUCCUGCGCGGAAAAUGAUCGGGCAUCAAACACGUUGCCGAAGCUAUGGGGUUCGAGAGGACCGGUAGGGGAGCAUUCCAUUGGCGUUGAAGGUGUGCUGUGAGGCAUGUUGGAGCGAAUGGAAAAGAAAAUGUAGGCAUGAGUAACGAAAAAAAGGGUGAGAUCCCCUUUCGCCGUAAGACUAAGGGUUCCUUGUUCGAUGCCAAUCAGAACAGGGUCAGCCGGGACCUAAGGGGAAGCCGAAAGGCGAACUUGAUGGCAAGCGGGUUAAUAUUCCUGCGCCUGUGCACACUAAAAAGGGGACGGAGACAGUAAGUACCCAGGUACCGACGGAAAAGUGCGUUGAGUGGAGGCUUAGUCCGAAGCGAGGGUAUGAAUGUCUUCCAAGAAAAGCCGAAGUGCACAGCCCGUACCGUAAACCGACACAGGUAGUCGAGGAGAGUAUCCUAAGGCGCGCGAGUGAUCCACGGUUAAGGAACUAGGCAAAAUAGCCCCGUAACUUCGGGAGAAGGGGCGCUCCUGGCAACAGGAGCCGCAGUGAAGAGGCCCAGGCGACUGUUUAACAAAAACACAGGACUCUGCAAAAUCGCAAGAUGAAGUAUAGGGUCUGACACCUGCCCGGUGCCGGAAGGUUAAGGAAGGGAGUCAUCUUCGGAGAAGCUCUUGACCGAAGCCCCGGUAAACGGCGGCCGUAACUAUAACGGUCCUAAGGUAGCGAAAUUCCUUGUCGGGUAAGUUCCGACCUGCACGAAUGGUGUAACGAUCUGGGCACUGUCUCAACCGUGAGCUCGGUGAAAUUGAAGUAUCGGUGAAGAUGCCGGUUACCCGCAACGGGACGGAAAGACCCCGUGAACCUUUACUAUAACUUCACAUUGGUCUUGAGUAUAGGAUGUGUAGGAUAGGUGGGAGGCUAUGAAGUUUUCACGCUAGUGGAGAUGGAGCCGACGUUGAAAUACCACCCUUUCUAUACUUAGGUUCUAACCCAGAGAUGGGGACAUUGUGUGGUGGGUAGUUUGACUGGGUAUCGUGACUGGGAA